rnacentral:rRNA from 1 species
GACGAACGCUGGCGGCGUGCUUAACACAUGCAAGUCGAACGGAAAGGCCCUGCUUUUGUGGGGUGCUCGAGUGGCGAACGGGUGAGUAACACGUGAGUAACCUGCCCUUGACUUUGGGAUAACUUCAGGAAACUGGGGCUAAUACCGGAUAGGAGCUCCUGCUGCAUGGUGGGGGUUGGAAAGUUUAGGCGGGUGGGGAUGGACUCGCGGCUUAUCAGCUUGUUGGUGGGGUAGUGGCUUACCAAGGCUUUGACGGGUGGCCGGCCUGAGAGGGUGAACGGCGACAUUGGGACUGAGAUACGGCGCAGACGCCUACGGGAGGCAGCAGUGGAGAAUAUUGCACAAUGGGCGGAAGCCUGAUGCAGAGACGCCGCGUGCGGGAUGACGGCCUACGGGUUGUAAACCGCUUUCGCCUGUGACGAAGCGUGAGUGACGGUAAUGGGUAAAGAAGCACCGGCUAACUACGUG